rnacentral:tRNA from 1 species
GGUAAAGUGGCCGAAUGCUUAGGCGGUGGGCUGUAGUCCCAUUGACGGGGGUUUGAUUCCUCUUUUUAUCA